GCCGGGUUUGGGGUGUUAUAUUUACUUUCUUAUCAGUCUCUCUAGUUAUAUUGACCCCAUGUAUCUUAUUUUCACUAAAUUUAGUCCAAUACCAUGGUGUACGACAUUUACGACCGUACAAAGCCUCAUAAGGUGCCAUUUUGAUUCUCAAUUGAAAGCUAUUAUUGUACACAAUUUCGAUCAGAGGUAAGCAUCGUUCCCAUGCACCUUCGAAUUCGAGAAUACGAUAUCUCAACAUAUCGUCAAGUAUCUGAAUGAUUCGCU
rnacentral:lncRNA from 1 species